UGAGGAAAGCGGGAGAUGGCGGCUCCGACCCCUGCGAAGGAGAAAAGCGGUGCAAGAGAACAGAAUUAGGCAUUAAACUACCCACCUUGGGGUCAAUAAGCCGCCUUGACAAACAGGAUAACCUCUGCGAGAAAUAUCUGGAAUUUUUAAUAAAACACCUCACAGGCUCUACUGGACAGUCCAGCAAAAUAAAGAUGUAACUUAAACUGC